rnacentral:rRNA from 1 species
UUUUAUGGAGAGUUUGAUCCUGGCUCAGAGUGAACGCUGGCGGCGUGCCUAAUACAUGCAAGUCGAACGAUGAAGCUUCUAGCUUGCUAGAGUGCUGAUUAGUGGCGCACGGGUGAGUAACGCAUAGGUCAUGUGCCUCUUAGUUUGGGAUAGCCAUUGGAAACGAUGAUUAAUACCAGAUACUCCCUACGGGGGAAAGAUUUAUCGCUAAGAGAUCAGCCUAUGUCCUAUCAGCUUGUUGGU